GAGCUCACGAGGCAGAGAAGGCGCACGAAGGCAAAGGGGCAGCAACAGAUUGGGAAUAAUCGUAGAGGUAGGGUUUCCCAGAGAUUUGCGUUGACGCCGCGCGCAUGGUCAGGGAUCGAUUGAAGAACACUGACGAGGAUUUGGGAUUGUUCUCCUCGGAUAAUUGGAAUCUCUCGCCAUAACCACUAGCCAUCCUUCGAGAAUCCAGGGGAAAUAAGCGGAAGAACGAAAAUCGACACGACUUCUGGCGUUCAAUUUGGGGAUUAGGCUAGGGUUCCGCUGAAACAAAUCCAGGCGACGCGAAUUUCCGAUUCCCCGAAUCAAGGAUCGAGAAGAUCGAGGCGAUCUCCUGCGUCAAAAUCGGCAGACGUCGGCGGCGAUGAAGGGCGGAAGAAAAUCGGUAGGGGGCGGUGGAAAUUGGAAUCUGGACGGCAGGUAGGGGAGCUGCUUUCGGUGUUAAUUGUGCUUUCGGAGGCGUGGAUUCAAAGUCAAGGCUUUACGUAGAGAGAGAGAGAGAGAAAUGGUUGGGGCUCUUGAAAAAGCUUCUCCCUUGAACCCAUUUCUUCAUCAGGUUUCAGAUCACAGAUGGAUAGAUAGAUAGAUAGACAGGCAGACAACGACGACGACGAUGCUCUGAGACGUCGUUUUCAGUGCCGACUUUUCCAUUUCAAAUUGAAAAGAAGGAACGGAUUAGCGCAGGCGGUGCUUCUCUUUCUUUUUCUUCCUUCCCUUCCCUUAUUUUUAUUAUUUAUUUAUUUAUUUAUUAUUUUAAGUUACUUAUUCCUGAGGGAAAUAUUCAAAUGUUAAAAUUAGAAAAUUAUGGGUAAUGGCAGCUAUAGCUUAUAAGCUAUUUCUUGAGUUUUGACUAAAAAUAUUCAUUCUGGCUUGUUGCUCACUUCCAUCUCUGCCUUCUCUCAUUCAUUGCCUCCGAACCUUAACCCCACUGCAGCUGCUUGUAGCAAGGAAAUUUGCUUGUCUGUCUAAGCUGGCCCACCGCCAGCUUAAAGAAUACAAUUUAUUUAUUUAUAGACCUUCAAUUUGACGGGAGUGGAGUCCAAUUGAAACAACAUUGUUAAUUCUCCUCUUAAUACUUAAACCCAUAAACUGAACAACACAACAGACUACAUACCACUUAACCAACAUCCAUCAAACGGGUAAAAUUAAUAAACACUCAUUGAAUUUUAAAGUUGUAAUUAUUUGCUCACUCAACUUUAAAUUGUAACCACUUACUCACUGAAUUUUACUCAUUGUUAAUCAUCCAUUAUUUGUUAUAACCCUGUCAAAUAUUACACUAACAGAAUCUAACGUGGCUAAUGGAAUCCAAAAUUAUCCAAUCAAAUAUUCAUUUUUAGCCAAGCCAGCUCCCCGUCAGCUCCAAGUCAUUUGCCAACUCAUUUAAGUGAGAUUAAUUAACUGGAAGCUUUGAGACUGAAUUGAAAUUGAAGCUUCCAGUAAGUGACCAAAUUGAAUUAAAAUUAAGGGUUUCUGUUGGUCACCAGAUACGCAAUCACAGCACAAAAUCAAGGGCUUCUUCCACUGUUCUUCCUCGCCGCACGAUUGCUCGGUGCUCGUGGCUGCUCUUCUCCUUCGCUGCAAGAUUGCUGGGUGCUCGUGGGUUCUCCCUUGCCGCGGGAUUGCUCUGUGCUCGUGGCCGCCGUUCUCCCUUACCGCGCGGUUGCUGGGUUGGAAGUGCUUCUUGCUUAUUUUGGAAGUGAUUUCACAGUUAACUUAAAAGCAAAGGGGUUCUCAGAGAACCAGUGAUGGUAAAUUCAUUUUCAAGUCUUCAUCAGUCAUGGUUUCUGUUGUCAAAAAACCAUCUUCAGCCUCCAAGAGUAAUGAGCCAGCAAAGCUGGACAUCAAACAAUAGGAAGAUAGAAAAGCAAAUAAUUCAAGCACUAUUUUGGAGUCUCUAACACCAUCUUCAUCCUCCAAAUCUAGUACGCCGACGAAAUUAGCUGACAAGUCAAAGGAAGAGAGUUGAACUACUCCAAGCACUGGACUGCUGUCUCUAUGCCAAAAUUAUGAAAAUGAUGAAGAUGAUUAGCAA